CGCGUAGGCGGACAUUUAAGUCAGGGGUGAAAUCCCGGGGCUCAACCUCGGAAUUGCCUUUGAUACUGGGUGUCUUGAGUGUGAGAGAGGUAUGUGGAACUCCGAGUGUAGAGGUGAAAUUCGUAGAUAUUCGGAAGAACACCAGUGGCGAAGGCGACAUACUGGCUCAUUACUGACGCUGAGGCGCGAAAGCGUGGGGAGCAAACAGGAUUAGAUACCCUGGUA
rnacentral:rRNA from 1 species